rnacentral:rRNA from 1 species
UACGGGGGGGGGCAAGCGUUGUUCGGAAUUACUGGGCGUAAAGGGCUCGUAGGUGGCCAACUAGGUCAGACGUGAAAUCCCUCAGCUUAACUGGGGAACUGCGUCUGAUACUGGAUGGCUUGAGUUCGGGAGAGGGAUGCGGAAUUCCAGGUGUAGCGGUGAAAUGCGUAGAUAUCAGGAAGAACACCCGUGGCGAAAGCGGCUCUCUGGAACGGUACUGACGCUGAGACGCGAAAGCGUGGGGAGCGAACAGG